AGGCCUUGUAAAUGCUUUGUGAAAUCGGCAGGCGUAACCUGUCGGCGUGCAGAGUAGACUGCAGGGCUUGAGACCGGGAGAUGUCAGAAGUAUUCCUAGGGUACCGGUAAAAUGGGUUAAUCCUGGGAGGACUACCGAUGGCGAAGGCAUCUGACAAGCACGGUUCUGACUGUGAGGGACGAAAGCUAGGGGAGCAAAACGGAUUAGAUACCCGAGUAGUCCUAGCCGUAAACGCUGCGAGCAAGGUAUUGCGCCUCCCACGAGGAUGCGCAGUGUCGAAAUGAAGAUGUUAAGCUCGCCACCAGGGAAGUACGGUCGCAAGGCUGAAACUUUAAGGAACUGGCGGGGGAGCGCCACAAGGGGUGCGGCGUGCGGUUCAAUCUAACUCAACGCAGAGAACCUCACUAGGCCCGACGGCAGAAUGAAGGUCAUGCUGAAGACAUUGCCUGACAAGCCGAGAGGUAGUGCAUGGCCGUCGCCAGCUCGUGCUGUGAAGUGUCCAGUUAAGUCUGGCAACGAGCGAGACCUGUACCCUCUAUUGCUAACGACUGCUACGGCAGGAUUGAGCACUUUGAGGGGACUGCCCUGGAAACGGGGAGGAAGGUGCAGGCUACGGUAGGUCUGUAUGCUCCGAAUGGUCUAGGCUACAC
rnacentral:rRNA from 1 species